UGCGCGNCUACCAUGCAAGUCGAGCGGCAGCGCGGGGCAACCUGGCGGCGAGCGGCGGACGGGUGAGUAACGCGUAGGAAUCUACCUGGUAGUGGGGGAUAGCCCGGGGAAACUCGGAUUAAUACCGCAUACGUCCUAAGGGAGAAAGUGGGGGAUCUUCGGACCUCACGCUAUCAGAAGAGCCUGCGUAGGAUUAGCUAGUUGGUAGGGUAAAGGCCUACCAAGGCGACGAUCCUUAACUGGUCUGAGAGGAUGAUCAGUCACACCGGAACUGAGACACGGUCCGGACUCCUACGGGAGGCAGCAGUGGGGAAUAUUGCGCAAUGGGGGCAACCCUGACGCAGCAACGCCGCGUGGACGAAGAAGGCCCUCGGGUUGUAAAGUCCUUUUCUGAGGGGCGAUAAUGACGGUACCUCAGGAAUAAGUCCCGGCUAACUACGUGCCAGCAGCCGCGGUAAAACGUAGGGGGCGAGCGUUAUCCGGAAUUACUGGGCGUAAAGCGCGCGUAGGCGGUUUUGUAAGUCGGAUGUGAAAGCCCCGGGCUUAACCUGGGAAUUGCAUUCGAUACUGCUUAACUAGAGUACGGUAGAGGGAAGUGGAAUUUCCGGUGUAGCGGUGAAAUGCGUAGAUAUCGGAAGGAACACCAGUGGCGAAGGCGACUUCCUGGGCCAGUACUGACGCUGAGGUGCGAAAGCGUGGGGAGCAAACAGGAUUAGAUACCCUGGUAGUCCACGCCGUAAACGAUGAGAACUAGAUGUCGGGAGGAUUUAGCCUUUCGGUGUCGCAGCUAACGCGUUAAGUUCUCCGCCUGGGGAGUACGCCGGCAACGGUAAAACUCAAAGGAAUUGAC
rnacentral:rRNA from 1 species